rnacentral:rRNA from 1 species
AGUCGAGCGAAGCGCUGUUCAGAAUCUUCGGAGGAAGAGGACAGUGACUGAGCGGCGGACGGGUGAGUAACGCGUGGGCAACCUGCCUCAUACAGGGGGAUAACAGUUAGAAAUGACUGCUAAUACCGCAUAAGCGCACAGGACCGCAUGGUGUAGUGUGAAAAACUCCGGUGGUAUGAGAUGGACCCGCGUCUGAUUAGGUAGUUGGUGGGGUAAAGGCCUACCAAGCCGACGAUCAGUAGCCGACCUGAGAGGGUGACCGGCCACAUUGGGACUGAGACACGGCCCAAACUCCUACGGGAGGCAGCAGUGGGGAAUAUUGCACAAUGGGGGAAACCCUGAUGCAGCGACGCCGCGUGAAGGAAGAAGUAUUUCGGUAUGUAAACUUCUAUCAGCAGGGAAGAAGAUGACGGUACCUGAGUAAGAAGCACCGGCUAAAUACGUGCCAGCAGCCGCGGUAAUACGUAUGGUGCAAGCGUUAUCCGGAUUUACUGGGUGUAAAGGGAGCGUAGACGGAUAGGCAAGUCUGGAGUGAAAACCCAGGGCUCAACCUUGGGACUGCUUUGGAAACUGCAGAUCUGGAGUGCUCGGAGAGGUAAGCGGAAUUCCUAGUGUAGCGGUGAAA